GAUGAACGCUGGCGGCGUGCCUAACACAUGCAAGUCGAGCGGACAGACGAGGAUCUUGCUCCUCUGACGUUAACGGCGGGAGUGUGAGUAACACGAGGUUCCCUUACCUUUGGGACUAGUAUAAGUACGGGAAACCGAAGCCAAUACCGGAUCAUAUAUUGAACCGCGUGGUUCGAUAGUGACGGCGGUUUUUGAUGUCCCUUAGACGUAUUAGCUAGUUGGUAGGGUAACGGCUUACCAAGGCGGCGACCCGUAGCCGACCUGAGUGGGCGACCGGCCACACUGGAGCUGAGCCACGGUCCAGACUCCUACGGGAGGCAGCAGUAGGGAAUCUUGGGCAAUGGGCGGAAGCCUGACGGAGCAACGCCGCGUGAGUGAAGAAGGUCUUCGGAUCGUAAAACUCUGUUAGUGGGGAAGAACGAAUGUGUAAGUAACUAUGCACGUCUUGACGGUACCUAAACAAAAAGCCACGGCUAACUACGUG
rnacentral:rRNA from 1 species